AUUGAACGCUGGCGGAAUGCUUUACACAUGCAAGUCGAACGGCAGCACGGACUUCGGUCUGGUGGCGAGUGGCGAACGGGUGAGUAAUAUAUCGGAACGUGCCCAGUCGUGGGGGAUAACGUAGCGAAAGCUACGCUAAUACCGCAUACGAUCUACGGAUGAAAGCGGGGGAUCGCAAGACCUCGCGCGAUUGGAGCGGCCGAUAUCAGAUUAGGUAGUUGGUGAGGUAAAGGCUCACCAAGCCGACGAUCUGUAGCUGGUCUGAGAGGACGACCAGCCACACUGGGACUGAGACACGGCCCAGACUCCUACGGGAGGCAGCAGUGGGGAAUUUUGGACAAUGGACGCAAGUCUGAUCCAGCCAUUCCGCGUGCAGGACGAAGGCCUUCGGGUUGUAAACUGCUUUUGUACAGAACGAAAAGGUCUCUAUUAAUACUAGGGGCUCAUGACGGUACUGUAAGAAUAAGCACCGGCUAACUACGUGCCAGCCGCCGCGGUAACAC
rnacentral:rRNA from 1 species